rnacentral:misc_RNA from 1 species
AACGCACCUUGCGCCCUUUGGCUAUUCCGAAGGGCAUGCCUGUUUGAGUAUCAUGAACACCUCAACUCUCAUGGCUUGCCAUGAUGAGCUUGGACUCUGGGGGUCUUGCUGGCCUGUGGUCGGCUCCUCUCAAAUAAAUCAGCUUGCCAGUGUUUGGUGGCAUCACAGGUGUGAUAACUAUCUACGCUUGUGGUUUUCCACCAGGUAACCUUCAGUGAUGGAGGUUCGCUGGGGCUCAUAAAAGUCUCUCCUCAGUGAGGACAGCUCUUUGAACAUUUGAUCUCAAAUCAGGUAGGACUACCCGCUGAACUUAA